rnacentral:piRNA from 1 species
UGCUGUAGCAUAGAAUAACAUUGAGUUU